UUGAAGUUGUCUAUGACAUGAGCAUUAGAGGCAAUAUGGUAUUCUCAAUAGAAGAUGAGCCUCGACAUCAGGACAACCUGGCCACGUGUCCUUCCUCUGGGUUUUACUGGCUGUAUUACCAUUGAACCUCUCAGUGUCCUCAGCUUCAAGAAUGGGAGUUGCAGAAACUCAUCUCUUGGAGGAUCAUUUCGAUUCUGAAACUCACAACACUUCAGGACCCUCUGCUUUUUGGGACACUCUGAUUGGAGAUGCAAGUGGCUGAGAUCAAAUUGCAGAGCAGGCAUACGUGAACAGUGGGUGAUAAGAGGAAGGAUGCCAAGGAGAGAGAGAAGGGGAGGAGCAGCUAUGGAAUCUAACCUAGAAGCAAGCUGGGCACUAUCUUAUGUACACAGUGCAGUGACGCAGAGCAGCAGGUCCCCGAGAGCAAACAAAACAGGAGGAGGAAGAGAGAGCUCCUCUUUCCUGCCCCACCCUGCCCUCCCCUGGCACUGCCAUCAGGCCCAGACAAAGAAGAUGUCAGGAGGGCCAUUUGGCAUGAACCCAAAGCUCAAUGGGAACCUGAAAUUAGCAGGCAAAGACCCAUCUACGGUUCAAGUAAGGGAUAAGAGCAUAUGAAUGUUCUUACCAGGCUUAAUAUCCACUGCGACAUUGCUGAAAG